UACGAAGGGGGCUAGCGUUGCUCGGAAUUACUGGGCGUAAAGGGCGCGUAGGCGGACAGUUUAGUCAGAGGUGAAAGCCCAGGGCUCAACCUUGGAAUUGCCUUUGAUACUGGCUGUCUUGAGUUCGGGAGAGGUGAGUGGAAUGCCGAGUGUAGAGGUGAAAUUCGUAGAUAUUCGGAAGAACACCAGUGGCGAAGGCGACUUACUGGACACAUAUUGACGCUGAGGUGCGAAAGCGUGGGGAGCAAACAGGG
rnacentral:rRNA from 1 species